UACAGAGGUCUCAAGCGUUGUUCGGAUUCAUUGGGCGUAAAGCGCGUGUAGGCGGCCCGGUAAGUCCGCUGUGAAAGUCGGGGGCUCAACCCUCGAAUGCCGGUGGAUACUGUCGGGCUAGAGUGCGGAAGAGGCGAGUGGAAUUCCUGGUGUAGCGGUGAAAUGCGCAGAUAUCAGGAGGAACACCAAUUGCGAAGGCAGCUCGCUGGGACGUUACUGACGCUGAGGUGCGAAAGCGUGGGGAGCAAACAGG
rnacentral:rRNA from 1 species